ensembl:lncRNA
AAAAAAUCGACGGAACAACAACAAUGUCUAUGACAGCGUUAAUGUUUGGGGAAAACAUAAAAACCAUGAGACAAAACCAAACAUCAGCACUGUUGCGUUCCUGCAGGUUCUGAUGCGGGGAGAUGAAUCUUUCUCUCAAUUAGAGCUGCUCUUCUCCAUCACGGCUGCCAAGACCUGUUUGUCUCAUUACCCCGCGAUUGUUUAACUUCCUGUCAGAAAAUACAAUGUUUCAAGUUUAGGAUUGAAUUGCUUUCAUUGAAGGAAGAGAAACAAACAUCCACAAGUGACAACCGAUGCAAGCCCUGGUGAUCUAAGACCAAAGCCAAAAGGACAUCUGUGCUGUAGACCGAUAAACUGAGCUGCUUCACUACUUCCUUCAAAAGCCUGCCUGGUCUCUAGCCCUAGAAGACAACAAGUACAAUGCCCUCAGACAGAGCAAGGAGAGGGUUUUUCUGCCAUGAGCAAGAGCGGCACAACGGAGGGCGAGCCGCACCUUACUGAGCACUGGCAUGACUACUACCACGACCACGGACACCAUGGGCACCAAGAUUUGUUCCGCCUUCUUACUCCUUCUAAUAUUACAAGGGUCAUGGGCUUUCAACACGACAGCUAGUAUGGUUACAGUGUCCAGCGAGCCCCCUGCCACCAAUGUUUCAGGCCUUGCAGACAACAUUACGGCUGUGAGCAGAACCACAAGAGAUGUGAUCCCUCAGAAGACUGGACUUGGAAACAUCAGUAUGACAACGGGUCCCAUUUCAAUCCCACCAGCGAUCACCCAACCAGCUGUCAACAAGUCAACAACGCCCGAAGCCAGUAAGCCUACAGCAACCAAACCAGAGACAAACUCUUCCCCAACUAUGAAACCCCAAACACCCUGGAAACAAAAAGAAUUUUUCACCAACAAAGAUUUCGACGAGCUGGAUAAACGAUUCACGUAUGAUUACUUUACUCUGCGGAAGGCCGGGCUGGUGGUGGCGGCGGUGCUCUUCCUCCUCGGCCUCCUGGUGCUGGGCUGCGGACCCGGAGGACGCCUGCCAAAAUGCCGCCGUCUGAGGGCCACAAAGUCAUACCAAAUGGAGAAAAAAUGAGGACAGAGUUUCUGCAGAGUUAUGUAAAGUGUAGACUAACUUUGGAGUUGUGUGUGCAGAAAGCAUCAGUAAAGUACAAUUACCUAAAUAAAAUCCUUGCCUGUGUGUGUGUGUGUGUGUGUGUGUGUGUGUGUGUGUGUGUGUGUGCGCGCGCGUGUGUGUGUGUGUGUUGUGUCUGUGCGUGUGUGUUUGUAUGUGUGCAUGACAUGUGUGUGUUUACACAACUGUGUGCACAUGGGUGUGCUUUGUAUGACUAAGCCUCAGCACCAUGAGCCUAAGCCUCAUGCCUAAGAAUGGAAAAACACUGAAGACUUGAAGUCAACAUGAAUAAAACAGACAGGGAAGACUGCAGGACUCUGGUUGACCUCCAUUAAAGUUAGCCUAGCUAACUCAACAUAAUGACACAACUGAGCGUGUCUUCAGUUUAUUUACCAAGCUAACUUAACCUAACUAAAGACAUACAUUUAGUUCAGUUAACCUGCUUUUUGAACCUCCCUAUAGCCACAAGCAUACGUGUCUUUAGUUUACCUAGCUAACUAAAUAUCACUAAAGCACAUAACUGAACCUAACUUAGACCUAACUAUAGACACAAGUGUAUGCGUCUUGAGUUAACCCGCUGACUAAACCAAAAUGAAACAUGUGUGUCUUUGUUUUUUUAACCCAGCUUACUAAACCUAACUAAACAAACACGUGUGCCUUUAGUUAGGUUAACAGAGAUAACCAAACCUUAAUAAGACCCACAUAUAUUGCUUUUGAUACUUGUAAGGACCCAUGCACGUUGCUUCUAGGUACCCGUUAAGGGGAAUCUACUUGAGACGCGAUGGGACACGUGACGGUUCUUGUAGUAUCAGCCAUCUUUUUUGACUUGACUAUUUUGUUCAACUUUUCAAUAUUUGGUUAGCUUUGAGCCAACAGAAACAAUGCUAUCCACAUUUUGUUUGAUGUUGUAAACAGCCCGAUAGUGGCGAAUCAUAAUUUUUAUUAUUCAAGAUAACUUCAGUUUUUGAUUACAUUGAAAUCAUCAGCCGACGUCAGGAUGUAAAUAAAAUAAAAUUAUCAGUUCUGUUUUCGGUUCUGGGAAGGUGUGUGUCUGUAUUCCAACGUCUCUAUUAGUCAUAGUAAUGACACGUGUUUGUCACAGUAACGACCAAUACAGUAAUACUUAAGAGAUUACCUGUAUGUGUAAUGCUGCAUGUCUUGGCUGGCGUAACAAGAAAACAGCAAGCCACUUUAGACUGAAAUACAAGUGGUUUGUUUUUAUUAGGAGCCCGUUUUUGUCAUUAUAUAUUUAUUUUUAAAAAAGCAUGAAAAUGGCAAACAGACAUUUUAUUGCUGAUAUGAUCAAGAACAUUUGAAAUGAGGGUAUUGCUUUACCACCAGGUGGAGCGAACACAGAGCGAGGAGCAACAGCUGUUUCCCUUUGCUUAAGAGUAUUGGUAGCACAGGUAAUAACAAAAUGUAAAGUAACUAUAGCAUAAUAGUAUUAGAUAGUAUAGCAGCUAUGUAAAACUACUGCACUAUCCCAUAUUGUUAGAUAGUUUAGUAGAAUGACAUAGUAUAGCAAUGAUGUAAAACAACUAUACUAUCUUAUAUGGUUAGAUGGUUUAGUAGUAUUAGAUAGAGCUUGCAUAGUAAGCACGCAGAGAGCGCAUGCCUGAAUGACAUCAUAAAAAGAGAAACCUUUUUUACAUAUAUAUUUGUAUAUAUAUAUAUAUAUAUAUAUAUAUAUAUAUAUAUAUAUAUAUACAGUCUUAUUUUUUCCAUGAGAUACAAUGCCUAUACAUACAAUUUUUAACCGAUCGUAGGCGUAACAAUAUACCACAUCCAAAGGGUGAGACCAGGUCGGAGACCCCAGAAGCGCACCUUAAAGGGGUGAUAUCAGGCCAACAGGUUUGAAUGUGAUCAGCCAUAGACCUCUGAAGAAUAAGUCCCGCCCCCAAGGCUGAGUACAGAGUUUGUUAUGUACGAUCAUUCUACAACCACAUGUUAUUUCCCAUGGACAUUUGACUGAGGGAUCCGGGAGGUUCGGAGCCGGGACUUAUUCUUCAGAGGUCUAUUACAAGCUGUUUGAAAAUUCUGCCCCGCCCCUCCCCCUUGUCUUUCUGUCACGGGUAUAAAAAUCUCUCCCCAACCCCCAUCUUGUCUCUCUGUCCCGGUUAUAAAACCCCAUCUUCCCAACCCCCAGCCAUCAUAGAGCUAUUUAUUUUAUUUACAAUCUUCCAGGCUGAGGACGUUGGAGAGAUUGUCUUCUGGAGGAAGUGGGGGGAAAAAAAACGUCAUCAUUCAUGGCGGUCGAUUAAUUCACUGCCUCGCAACAGGAUGUUCUAACUAGCACUGCACACACACACACACACACACAGACGCACACACACACACACACACACACACACACACACACACACACACACACACACACACACACACACACACACACACACACACACACACACACACACACACACACUAGUUGAGCCUGGCCUGAGUUGUGGGGAAAGCCAGCUUUAUCUCCCAUCCCCUCCUGCCACUCCUACUGGGUGAAGAACAGGGGAUGUCAGGCAAAUGAAGAGGAAACCGAAGUGAGAACUGAGCCACUCUGCUGUGGAUUAGCACGGUUUGUCUUUGAAAUAAGCCUGUUCCGCUCGUGGCAGGUCUGUCCCAACAGAUCCCCCACAUCAAUGUUUCCACCACGCACCUUAGCCGGAGAGGAAUGGGAGAAAUCCCGCUCACAACAGAAGCCGUUCCAUUUAAAGAAACAUUUAAAGGCUCCCGCGUUUCAUCUUUAAAUAGAAUCUUAUUAAAAGGCUUAAUGUGUUCCAAAUGUUCCCAAGUGAAAUGGUGUGUUCAUAUUAUAAUGCAAAAAUGCAGGAUUGAAGCAUGACAGAAAGGCAAACAUCACUUUCUAAUUAUUAAUAUGAGCGUGGCACAGAUCAGCAGCGAGAAAUACAAGUAUACAGGGAUAUGCAAGAUGGCGCCUUAACCUAAACCUGUCCGGGGUCAAACCCUGAACCUGUCCGGGUCAAACCCUGAACCUGUCCGGGGUUAAACCCUUAACCCUGUGAGUGAAAUAUGUGGUCAGUGCAUUGGUCCUCCUUUCGGUGUUCUACUGGGUCCUGGGGGGCUGGAACCCAGGAGCUACACAGAGACCUUCUGGUCCUGGUCUGCGGGCACCGAGUACACGCUGGAGAGGAAGAGAGGGGCAGGCAUGAGUAUAAUCCUAGAGGAAAUACUUUCACAGUGCUAGGAAGAACACGUCCGCCCGGCCCAGCGGGUGAUCAGGUGCAAGUGUCAGGUGCACGGCGGCUGUGUCACCUCUAAGUCACGUCUCAUCCCCAGGUGAAACUUAUCUAUCUGGCAAGGAGACGCUUGUUGAUCCAACAAGCAAAGGGUUGCAGCGCGAUUAAGCCUCUCUCUUGAGCAGUGCAAUCAGGCACUGCUGCCGUACCACCAGGGGGCCUGCAGUAAUCCUGCAGAGAAUUUAACCCUCGUGGAGACCUGCCUGCUCCAAAGUCACCACCCAGACUUGGAACACUCUGGGAACUGAUCUCUGUAAUCCCCCCCCCGCCCCCAUGCUGUCUUGAAGUUACAGGGUUUAACCCCUCCCCUCACCUUCCAAUUUCCAAGGCAAAAUAAACUAUUAAGUCUGCCAACUUGUAAAACUAGAGCAAAUACUAUGAUUAGCUCAGCGAGGGAUAGGUGAGGGGACAGGUGGGGGCAGGAGAAGGCUUCUCUGCUGGACCGGUUCAGGCGGUUUGGCUGUUUGGCUGAUAGCUGUUGUCAGGUUGUUGUCUUGACGUCAAGACAGAGUUGGUUUAUUCAGACCAGAGUCGUCUCGUCAGGCUGUUA